ACAUGGAGGGAUAGAGAUGAAGAUGGAGACAUGGAGGUAUAGAGAUGAAGAUGGAGACAUGGAGGGAUAGAGAUGAAGAUGGAGACAUGGAGGGAUAGAGAUGAAGAUGGAGACAUGGAGGUAUAGAGAUGAAGAUGGAGACAUGGAGGUAUAGAGAUGAAGAUGGAGACAUGGAGGUAUAGAGAUGAAGAUGGAGACAUGGAGGGAUAGAGAUGAAGAUGGAGACAUGGAGGUAUAGAGAUGAAGAUGGAGACAUGGAGGUAUAGAGAUGAAGAUGGAGACAUGGAGGUAUAGAGAUGAAGAUGGAGACAUGGAGG